AUCCAGUUGACGAGUCCCACACAAGACGAAAUGUGCAUCCUGGAU
rnacentral:hammerhead_ribozyme from 1 species